GUUAGGGUUAGGGUUAGGGUUAGGGUUCGGGUUAGGCUAAGGGUUAGGGUUAGGGUUAGGGUUAGGGUUUAGGGUUUAGGGUUAGGGUUAGGGUUAGGGUUAGGGUAGGGUUAGGGUUAGGGUUAGGGUUAGGGUUAGGGUUAGGUUAGGGUUAGGGUUAGGGUAGGGUUAGGGUAGGGUUAGGGUUAGGGUUAGGGUUAAGGUUAGGGUUAGGGUUAGUGUUAGGGUUAGGGUUAGGGGUAGGGUUAGGAUUAGGGUUAGGGUUAGGGUUAGGGUUAGGCUUAGGGUUAGGGUUAGGGUUAGGGUUAGGGUUGGGGUUAGGGUUAGGGUUAGGGUUAGGGUUAGGGUUUGGGUUAGGGUUAGGGUUAGGGUUAGGGUUAGGGUUAGGGUUAGGGUUACGGUUAGGGUUAGGGUUAGGGUUCGGGUUACGCUAAGGGUAGGGUUAGGGUUAGGGUUAGGGUUAGGGUUAGGGCUAGGGUUAGGGUUAGGGUUAGGGUUAGGGUUAAGGUUAGGGUUAGGGUAGGGUUAGGGUUAGGGUUAGGUUAGGGUUAGGGUUAGGGUUAGGGAUAGGCUAAGGGUAGGGUUAGGGUUAGCGUUAGGGUUUUGUCUAGGGUUAGGGGUAGGGUUAGGGUUAGGGUUAGGGUUAGGGUUAGGGUUAGGGUUAAAUUUAGGCUUAGGGUUAGGGUUAGGGUUAGGGUAAGGAUUAGGGUUAGGGUUAGGUUUAAGGUUAGGCUUAGGGUUAGGGUUAGGGUUAGGGUUAAGGUUAGGGUUAGGGUUAGGCAUAGGGUUAGGGUGAGGGUUAGGGUUAGGGUUAGGGUUAGGGUUAGGGUUAGGGUUAGGGUUAGGGUUAGGGUUAGGGUUAGGGUUAGGGUUAGGGUUAGGGUUUGGGUUAGGGUUAGGGUUAGGGUUGGGGUUAGGGUUAGGGUUUGGGUUAGGGUUAGGGUUAGGGCUAAGUUUUGGGUUAGGGUUAGGGUUAGGGUUAGGGUUAGGGUUAGGGUUAGGGUUAGGGCUAGGUUUAGGGUUGGGGUUAGGGUUAGGGUUUGGGUUAGGGUUAGGGUUAGCGUUAGGUUUAGGGUUAGGGUUUGGGUUAGGGUUAGGGUUAGGGUUAGGGUUUGGGUUAGGGUUAGGGUUAGGGUUAGGGUUAAGGUUAGGGUUAGGGUUAGGGUUAGGGUUAGGGUUAGGGUUAGGGUUAGGGUUAGGGUUAGGGUUAGGGUUUGGGUUAGGUUUAGGACUAGGGUUCUGAUUAGGGCUAGGGUUAUGGUUAAGUUUAGUUAUGCUGUCUUCA
rnacentral:lncRNA from 1 species